rnacentral:rRNA from 1 species
UGGGGAUGACGUCAAGUCCUCAUGGCCCUUAGGCCAGGGCUACACACGUGCUACAAUGGUCGGUCAAAGGGUUGCCAAGCCGCGAGGUGGAGCUAAUCCCAUAAAACCGAUCGUAGUCCGGAUCGCAGUCUGCAACUCGACUGCGUGAAGUCGGAAUCGCUAGUAAUCGUGAAUCAGAAUGUCACGGUGAAUACGUUCCCGGGCCUU